CAAUAGCGUAUAUUAAAGUUGUUGCGGUUAAAAAGUUCGUAGUUGGAUUUCUGCCAAGGACGACCGGUCCGCCCUCUGGGUGAGUAUCUGGCUUGGCCUGGGCAUCUUCUUGGAGAACGUCGCUGCACUUCACUGUGUGGUGCGGUAUCCAGGACUUUUACUUUGAGGAAAUUAGAGUGUUUCAAGCAGGCAUACGCCUUGAAUACAUUAGCAUGGAAUAAUAAGAUAGGACCUCGGUUCUAUUUUGUUGGUUUCUAGAGCUGAGGUAAUGAUUAAUAGGGAUAGUUGGGGGCAUUCGUAUUUAACUGUCAGAGGUGAAAUUCUUGGAUUUGUUAAAGACGAACUACUGCGAAAGCAUUUGCCAAGGAUGUUUUCGUUGA
rnacentral:rRNA from 1 species